UACGUAGGGUGCAAGCGUUAAUCGGAAUUACUGGGCGUAAAGCGUGCGCAGGCGGUUUUGUAAGUCUGUCGUGAAAUCCCCGGGCUCAACCUGGGAAUUGCGAUGGAGACUGCAAGGCUAGAAUCUGGCAGAGGGGGGUAGAAUUCCACGUGUGAGCAGUGAAAUGCGUAGAGAUGUGGAGGAACACCGAUGGCGAAGGCAGCCCCCUGGGUCGAAGAUUGACGCUCA
rnacentral:rRNA from 1 species